rnacentral:rRNA from 1 species
AUUGAACGCUGGCGGCAGGCCUAACACAUGCAAGUCGAACGAGUGGCGGACGGGUGAGUAAUGUCUGGGAAACUGCCCGAUGGAGGGGGAUAACUACUGGAAACGGUCGCUAAUACCGCAUACCAUCGGAUGUGCCCCGAUGGGAUUAGCUAGUAGGUGGGGUAAUGGCUCAACUAGGCGACGAUCCCUAGCUGGUCUGAGAGGAUGACCAGCCAAACUGGAACUGAGACACGGUCCAGACUCCUACGUGAGGAAGCAGGGGGGACUAUUGCACAAUGGGCGCAAGCCUGAUGCAGCCAUGCCGCGUGUAUGAAGAAGGCCGUCGGGUUGUAAAGUACUUUCAGCGGGGAGGCGUUACCCGCAGAAGAAGCACCGGCUAACUCCGUGCCAGCAGCCGCGGUAAUUC